rnacentral:tRNA from 1 species
GAUUCCUUAGCUCAGCUGGUAGAGCAAUACACUUUUAAUGUAUGGGCCCUGGGUUCGAAUCCCAGAGGGAUCA